UACGUAGGGGGCAAGCGUUGUCCGGAAUCAUUGGGCGUAAAGCGCGUGUAGGCGGCUAGGUAAGUCUGCUCUGAAAGCCCGGGGCUCAACCCCGGGAGGCGGGUGGAUACUGUCUAGCUCGAGUCCGGAAGAGGAGUGUGGAAUUCCUGGUGUAGCGGUGGAAUGCGCAGAUAUCAGGAGGAACACCAAUAGCGAAGGCAGCUCGCUGGGACGGUACUGACGCUCAGGCGCGAAAGCGUGGGGAGCAAACAGG
rnacentral:rRNA from 1 species